UACAGAGGUCUCAAGCGUUGUUCGGAUUCAUUGGGCGUAAAGGGUGCGUAGGCGGCGCGGUAAGUCGGGUGUGAAAUCUCGGAGCUUAACUCCGAAACUGCAUUCGAUACUGCCGUGCUUGAGGACUGGAGUGGAGACUGGAAUUUACGGUGUAGCGGUGAAAUGCGUAGAUAUCGUAAGGAAGACCAGUGGCGAAGGCGGGUCUCUGGACAGUACCUGACGCUGAGGCGCGAAGGUCAGGGGAGCAAACGGG
rnacentral:rRNA from 1 species